rnacentral:rRNA from 1 species
GAUCCUGGCUCAGAUUGAACGCUGGCGGCAUGCCUUACACAUGCAAGUCGAACGGCAGCAUGGAGAGCUUGCUCUCUGAUGGCGAGUGGCGAACGGGUGAGUAAUACAUUUCGGAACGUGUCCGUUUGUGGGGGACAACCGUCCGAAAGGAUGGCUAAUACCGCAUAAGACCUGAGGGUGAAAGCCGGGGACCGCAAGGCCCGGCGCAGACGGAGCGGCCGAUGAUUGAUUAG